AUUCAGCUGACGAGUACCGAAUAGGACGAAACGUGCGUUCUGGAU
rnacentral:hammerhead_ribozyme from 1 species